GGUUUUUUUUAAUUUUUAUUUCUUACACUUUUACUUUUUAUAUUCUAAUUUCAUUGUACAUUUACUAUUAUAACAGAACAAACAUGGUUUGAAGGAAAAACAGGGAAGUUUAGAUGAUUGGGCUCGUGUCACUGCUGCUGAAUUUGAUCACAUUAUACCAACGGACAAAUUUCUUGAUGCUUUUGUGGAGGAUGUUGUGACUGAACUUAAACUGAAUGUUGAUAUUGCUAAGAUUCUGAAAGCAUUAGCUUAUCGCUAUGCUAUAAUUUCUUCUAAGAAUGGUAUGAUUGGUUAAUAUUUCUCGGAUAAUUAUCUGCCAUUUAAUCAUUAUUUUAUUAAUUCGGUUAUUAAUUCGUUUUCCUACCAGUGAUUGCACUGGUUGGUUUUAGGCCAAGUAUGUUGGCAGCUUCUGCUAUUCUGGUAGCUGUCAAAAUACUGGUAGAGGAGCACUAUUUUUUUGCAAGAGCAAGGAUUUUUAAAAUAUGUGUCAUCCUAGGAUUGAAUGAGGUGAGUUGAUGACCUUGAAAAUAGAUGAAACAUACUUGUUGUCUCCAUAUUCUGAACUUAUUUUAUGAAUUGCAAAUUGAACUAAAGAACUGUGUGCUCCAGAUGUCUCAAUAUUGUUCAUCGGCAAUUAUAUCAUCUCUCUGACAGCGCUUAUGAGAUAUAAAAGCUUUUUAACUACUUCAUAUGCUAUUGAUUGAUAUUAAACUUGUAUCUACAUAGUUUAAAACUUUGUAUAUUGAUUCUUCAACUACUUCAUAUGCUAUUAAUUGAUAUUAAAACUUGUAUCUGCAUAGUUUUCAACUUUGUACAUUAACUAGCUCGGCGCUUGUUGUGAAUGUGCUACAUAUCUUUUCUAUGGGAUGCAUAUUGUUGAUACUAAUAACUUUAUUGUUUAGUUAACACGAUAUUAUGUAAUUUUUUUAUCUUUGGCUGAGAGAACAGGGCAGCAGGAUAGUCAGUUCCCAGUAGUUUACUACUUGUUCUCUCAAAUUUGAGAACAUAUUGGAGAAGUUAUACACUAUUCGUACUUUAGUUAGACUGUUAGAGUGUGCUUUCUUGCUGCAAAGUUAGUACAUAUGAAGUUAUGACCUGUAGGCAUCUUUGUUUUAGCACUCAGUGGCAGUCAUAUUAGGACCAAUAUUGUGGUUUCGACCAGUAUCACUGUCAACCCCUAGCUAUUUAUCUAGACCUUUUAUGCUAGUUCUCGGCUGUAAUGUUUGUGGCCGGUAAAAGUUGUAAAUGUCUUAUUUAAGCUGUAUUGACAUCUUUGGCUCUGCAGUUAAGCUCAAUACUGGGUUUCUAAAUCAUUAACCACUAGAGUGCCAGGGGGGUUUGAAUGUUGUAUAUAUAGCAUUUGGUAGAUGCUAUUAGCCUAAUAUGAUACUUGCCGGUUAGACUUAUUUGCAUGCUCUAGUGAGUUGUGUUUAUGUGAAAAAUAUCUGGAGCAUACCUGUUUUUGAAAUUUCAAGGGAGAAACAGGGACUAAUCAGGAUUUAAUUUUUUCUUUUUUAUUAGCUUUUUACAUGUUGGCUUAGGGUUCACAACGUCUUCACGAAUACCCUUUGGUGAAGAUGAUGUAGAUUGAAUACCCUUUGGUGAAGAUGAUAUAGAUUGAAUCUUUGAAUCUUUUUAAGAUUAUAUUGAUUUCAUUUGAAGUUUAUUAAAGUUACAUAUGU
rnacentral:lncRNA from 1 species